AAGCUCAUAUGAGCUUUUUUUGAUUGUUCAUAACUAGAUUUCUUGUUAAAUCUCAAAAAAUAAGCUAUAAUUAAUCAUAGCACUUAGUUUAGAAAGAAGGUGUAAGU
rnacentral:sRNA from 16 species